GGGGUUGUGGCUCAGUGGUAGAGCGCUCGCCUAACAUGGACGGAGCCCUGGGUUCGAUUCUCAGCAACACAG
rfam:Ictidomys tridecemlineatus contig103088, whole genome shotgun sequence.